UACGUAGGGGGCGAGCGUUGUCCGGAUUUAUUGGGCGUAAAGAGCGUGUAGGCGGUUCGGUAAGUCUGUCGUGAAAUCCUGAGGCUCAACCUCGGGCGUGCGAUGGAUACUGCCGGGCUAGAGGGUGGUAGAGGCGAGUGGAAUUCCCGGUGUAGCGGUGAAAUGCGCAGAUAUCGGGAGGAACACCAGCAGCGAAGGCGGCUCGGCUGGGCCGCACCUGACGCUGAGACGCGAAAGCU
rnacentral:rRNA from 1 species